CUGCAGGAAGGGAGAUUUGCAGGGAGGCAUGCAGGAUAAAGGGUUGGGUUUAGACCAACAGUGUUUGAGGUACGACUGGAUUUACAGUGCUCUCCAAGAACUGUGGGUGAUUUUCUAAUAAUCUGUGUUAAUAAGGAGUGUGAAGGAUGCUGGUUAUUGAGCUGCCUGCUGCAAGUUGUUUGGAAGAGGAAAUACACCAUGAGAAGGAGUUAGUGCAGGGUCACACUCUGAGAUCUGAUGGAGAAUUAGUUAGCUGAAACAGAUCAAUCUGUGGAAAAGGUCACUGGGGAAAGAGGAAAAUGAGCUGUCUUUAUAGCUGUAUUAUUUAUACUUCCCAUUGAAACAUUGAGGAAGGCUGAAAGAACCUUGCUCUUCACUGUGGAGGUCAUUCAGGAAGUUCUGUGUGUCCUUAGUGUGCAAUCAGUAUCAGGACCAAGAAGUUAAAAGAUAAGGAAAAACCCCAAUCUAAGAGAUCAAGUGUUCUUCAAGCCCAUGAGAAAUACCCAACUCACGGGAUGCAAACCAAGUUAUAAUUAAAGGACAAAGUGACAUGUGGCAUGGCACUGAUCUAGUAGCUGGAAAGUCCUGCUCUGAGGAGUUUUUGUAUUGCUGCAGAUGAAGAGCACUCUCCAUAGAAUAUCAGUGUGCUCUCAGCUCAAGGAGCAGAUGCCAGGAUGAUUCUCAGCCCUUGCAGACAGCACCUGUGGAUGUGUGUACUUGGGAGAAAAGGUCUUGUUCACGUUGCAGAAAAUUCAGGCUUGGAAAGUCCUAUGGAUUACAGUUCAGCUCAGGAUGAAAAUGAAGAAUUAUCAUUGCACAGCAAAGGG